UACGGAGGAUCCAAGCGUUAUCCGGAUUUAUUGGGUUUAAAGGGUGCGUAGGCGGCGUUGUAAGUCAGUGGUGAAAGUUUUCAGCUUAACUGGAAAAUUGCCAUUGAUACUGCAGUGCUUGAGUACAGAUGAGGUGGGCGGAAUGUGUCAUGUAGCGGUGAAAUGCAUAGAUAUUGUCAAGAACACCGAUAGCGAAGGCAGCUUGCUAGCCUGUAACUGACGCUGAGGCACGAAAGUGUGGGGAUCAAACAGG
rnacentral:rRNA from 1 species